AUCUAAUCAGGGAUGCUGAACUGGGAACUGUCCAAUCAGGCACAAAGCUGGAGCAGACAGGGCGGCUUCCGGGAUGUGGCGGGGUCUUUGUCUCUUGCUGCCGCUGGAGCUCUAGGUACCCUCUUCACUGCUCUGUAUCCUAUGCUCCAGGAAGCCCAGCCUAUGUGGCCCUGUGACCUGCAGGUAUUGGAGAUCCACAGCUAAAACGCCAGGAACCCCUGGAAGCCUAGAAAUGGGACUGUUGACAUUUAGGGAUGUGGCCAUAGAAUUCUCUCUGGAGGAGUGGCAACGUCUGGACGCUGCACAGCAGAAUUUAUAUAGGAAUGUGAUGUUAGAGAACUACAGAAACCUGGUCUUCCUGGGUAUUGCUGUCUCUAAGCCAGACCUGAUCACCUGUCUGGAGCAAGGAAAAGAACCCUGGAAUAUGAAGCGACAUGAGAUGGUGGAUAAACCCCCAGAUAUACGUCCUUAUUUUGCUCAAGACUUUUGGCCAGAGCAGGGCAUGGAAUAUUCUUUUCAAAAAGUAUUACUGAGAAAAUAUGAAAAAUGUGGACAUGAGAAUUUACAGUUAAGAAAAAGUUGUAAAAGUGUGGAUGAGUGUAAGGUGCACAGAGAAGGUUAUAGUAAACUUAACCAGUGUUUCACAACUACCCGGAGCAAAGUAUUUCAAUGUGGUAAAUAUUUGAAAGUCUUUUAUAAAUUUUUAAAUUCAAAUAGACAUACGAUAAGUAUUACAGAGAAGUCCUACAAAUGUAAAGAAUGUGAAAAGACCUUUCAUUGGUCCUCAACCCUUACUAAUCAUCAGAUAACUCAUACUGAAGAGAAACCCUACAAAUGUAAAGAAUGUGGCAAAGCUUUUAAGCAUUUCUCAACCCUUACUACACAUAAAAUAAUUCAUACUGGAAAGAAAUGCUACAAAUGUGAAGAAUGUGGCAAAGCUUUUAAUCGAUCUUCAAUUCUUACUGCACAUAAGAUAAUUCAUACUGGAGAGAAGUCUUACAAGUGUGAAGAAUGUGGCAAAGCAUUUAUAUGGUCCUCAACCCUAACUAGACAUAAGAGGAUACAUACUGGAGAGAAGCCCUGCAAAUGUGAAGUUUGUGGCAAAGCUUUUAGCCAUUCCUCAGCCCUUGCUAAACACAAGAUAAUUCAUACUGGAGAGAAACCCUACAAAUGUAAAGAAUGUGGCAAAGCUUUUAACAAUUACUCAACCCUUACUAAUCAUAAGGUAACUCAUACAGAAGAGAAACCCUACAAAUGUAAAGAAUGUGGCAAAGCUUUUAAGCGACUCUCAACCCUUACUAAACAUAAAAUAAUACAUGCUGGAGAGAAACUCUACAAAUGUGAAGAAUGUGGCAAAGCUUUUAAUCGAUCUUCAAAUCUUACUGCACAUAAGAUAAUUCAUACUGGAGAGAAACCUUACAAGUGUGAAGAAUGUGGCAAAGCAUUUAUCUGGUCCUCAAGCCUUACUAAACAUAAAAGAAUUCAUACUAGAGAGAGACCCUUCAAAUGUAAAGAAUGUGACAAAGCAUUUAUGUGGUCUUCAACCCUAGCUAGACAUAAAAGGUUACACACUGGAGAGAAGCCCUACAAAUGUGAAGAAUGUGACAAAGCUUUUAGCCGUUCCUCAACCCUUACUAAACAUAAGACAAUUCAUACUGGAGAGAAACCCUACAAAUGUAAAGAAUGUGGCAAAGCUUUUAAGCAUCCCUCAACCCUUGCUAAACAUAAAAUAAUAUAUGCUGGAGAGAAACUCUACAAAUGCGAAGAAUGUGGCAAAGCUUUAAAUCAAUCUUCUAAUCUUACUACACAUAAGGUAAUUAAUACUAAAGAGAAACCUUACAAGAGUGAAGAAUGUGGCAAAGCAUUUUUCUGGUCCUCAACCCUUACUGAACAUAAGAGAAUUCAUACCAGAGAGAAACCCUACAAAUGUGAAGAAUGUGGCAAAGCAUUUAGCCAACCCUCACACCUUACUACACAUAAGAGGAUGCACACUGGAGAGAAACCCUACAAAUGUGAAGAAUGUGGCAAAGCUUUUAGCCAAUCCUCAACCCUUACUACACAUAAGAUAAUUCAUACUGGAGAGAAACCCUACAAAUGUGAAGAAUGUGGCAAAGCUUUUAGGAAAUCUUCAACUCUUACUGAACAUAAGAUAAUUCAUACUGGAGAGAAGCCCUACAAAUGUGAAGAAUGUGGCAAAGCCUUUAGCCAGUCCUCAACCCUAACUAGACAUAAGAGGAUGCACACUGGGGAGAAACCCUACAAAUGUGAAGAAUGUGGCAAAGCUUUUAAUCGAUCCUCAAAGCUUACUACACAUAAGAUAAUUCAUACUGGAGAGAAACCUUACAAGUGUGAAGAAUGUGACAAAGCAUUUAUAUCAUCCUCAACCCUCACUGGACAUAAGAGAAUUCAUACUAGAGAGAAACCCUACAAAUGUGAAGAAUGUGGCAAAGCAUUUAGCCAAUCCUCAACCUUAACUAGACAUAAGAGGAUGCACACUGGAGAGAAACCCUACAAAUGUGAAGAAUGUGGCAAAGCUUUUAGCCAAUCCUCAACCCUUACUACACAUAAGAUAAUUCAUACUGGAGAGAAACCCUACAAAUGUGAAGAAUGUGGCAAAGCUUUUAGGAAAUCUUCAACUCUUACUGAACAUAAGAUAAUUCAUACUGGAGAGAAGCCCUACAAAUGUGAAGAAUGUGGCAAAGCCUUUAGCCAGUCCUCAACCCUAACUAGACAUAAGAGGAUGCACACUGGGGAGAAACCCUACAAAUGUGAAGAAUGUGGCAAAGCUUUUAAUCGAUCCUCAAAGCUUACUACACAUAAGAUAAUUCAUACUGGAGAGAAACCUUACAAGUGUGAAGAAUGUGACAAAGCAUUUAUAUCAUCCUCAACCCUCACUGGACAUAAGAGAAUUCAUACUAGAGAGAAACCCUACAAAUGUGAAGAAUGUGGCAAAGCAUUUAGCCAAUCCUCAACCUUAACUAGACAUAAGAGGAUGCACACUGGAGAGAAACCCUACAAAUGUGAAGAAUGUGGCAAAGCCUUUAAAGAGUCCUCAGCUCUUACUAAACACAAGAUAAUUCACACUGGAGAGAAACCCUACCAAUGUGAAAAAUGUGGCAAAGCCUUUAACCAGUCUUCAAUCCUUACUAACCAUAAGAAAAUUCAUACUAGAGAGAAACCCUACACAUGUCAAGAAUGUGGGAAAUCUUUUAACCGGUCUUCAGCCUUUACUAAACAUAAGGUAAUUCAUACUGGAGUAAAACUCUACAAAUGUGAAGAAUGUAGCAAAUCCUUUUUCUGGUCCUCAGCCCUAAUCAGACAUAAGAAAAUUCAUACUGGACAGCAACCCUACAAACAGGAAAAAUUUGGCAAAACCUUUAACCAGUUUUCACACCUUACACAGAUAAGAUAACUCGUAUUGGAGAGAAAUCUUACAAGUGUGAAUAAUGUGGUAAAGUCUAUAAAAAGUCCUGAAUUCUUAACAGACAUAAGAUUAUUCAUACUGGAGAGAAACUCUACAAACCUGAAAGAUGUGCCAGUGCUUUUGACAACUCAAACUUUUCUAAACAGCAAGAAAAUCAUACUGCUGAGAAAUCCUAGAAAUGUGAAGAAUACGACAAAGCAUCUAAAUUAUUGUCACACUUGAUUGUAGGUAAGAUAAUUCAUACUGGAGAAAACUACCAGUGUGAACAAUGUGGCCAAACUUUGAACCAGUGGUCACACCUUAAUGAACAGGAAAGCAUUUAUAUUUGAGAAAAAGUGUACAAAUAUAGACAAAGUAAAAAUGCCAUUAAUACCUGCUCACAUCUUACUCAAAAUCAGAACGUUCAUACUAAAUAAAAACAUUAGAAGUGUAAUUACUGUCAAAAGAUUGGUCAGAAAAUAUGUCUUUAAAGUACAGAAGAGUAUUUAUUUUGAAAAAGCAUUCCAAAUAUGAAGAGGCAUUAUUUAUGACCUUUUCUAUGGAAAGGUUAAAACACUCUUUUUGGAGAAUUUCCUAAAUGAAAUUUGUGAGCCCAUUGAAGCCUACAUGGAAGAAUUGAAUAUCCAGUGAUAAAAACUGGAAAAAAAACUAUUGGUGAAAAUGCUUUGUGAUGUGUGGUUUUAUCACACAAAAUGGAUUGCAUCCUAUAAGGAAAAAUUGAAUAUCCAGUGAUAAAAAUUAAAGACAAUAUUUAUGUUGAAAUUCUCUGAGAUGUGCUGCUGCUUAUGACAGAAUGAAACCUGUGUUUUGAUUCACCAUGUCACACUCUUUUUAUAAAGUCUACAAAGUGACAUUUCUGAGGACAUUGAGGCCUAUUAGGAAAAAAAUGAAUAUUCAGAUUUAGUAACUAGAAGUAAGCAAUCAUUGUAAAUGCUUUUUGAUGUGCUCUUUCUUAUCACAUAAUGGAACUUGUGUUUUGAUUCAACAAGUUCCCACACUCCUUUUGUAGUAUCUAUGAAGUGACAUUUCAGAGCCAAUUGAGGCCUCUAAAAGAAAUGUUAAUAUGCAACAACAAAAAGUAGAAACAAGCUAUAUGUGAAAAGUCUUUGUGAUAUGCUGUUUCAUAUCUCAGAAUAAAAUCUCUGUUUUGAUUCACCUGAUUUCUAACCCUUUAUUUGUAGAAUAUAACAAGUGAUAUUUCUGAGCCCAUUAAUGCCUAUUAAAAUAAAGUAUAUCAUGAUAAAAACAAGAAAAAAGCUAUCAGUGAAAAUGCUUUGGAAUGUGCUGUUUCACAUCAUAGAAUGAAACCAUUUUUUGAAUUCACUCAGUUCUGAACAUGCUUUGUGAAGAAUCUAUGAAGUGACAAUUGUGAGCUCACUGAGGCCAAUAAAAAAAUAAAUCCAGCAAUAAAAACUUGAAACAAGUUAUAUUUAAAAAUGCUUUGUGAUGUAUUGUUUCACAUCAUAGAAUGGAACCUGUGUUUGUUUCACUAGAUUCCAAACAUACCUUCUGUAUAAUAUACAAAGUGACAAGUCUGUGCAGAUCAUAAGUAAAUAUAGAAUAUUCAGCUCUGAAAACUAGAAAAGGGCUAUCUGUGAGAAUGCUUUGUGAUGAUCUGUUUCAUAUCACAGAAUGAAACUUGUGUUUUGAUAUGCCAGGUUUCAUACACUCUUUUUGUAGAAUCUACAAAGCGACAUUUCUUCAUGAAGUAAGGUGAUUAGGAAAAAUAUAUAUUUAGCGAUAAAAAGGAGAAUCAUGGUGUCUGUGAAAAUGCUUUGUGAUGUGUCAUUUCAUCUCAAAGGAUGGAAGCUAUGUUUUGAUACACCAGGUUUCAAACAUUUUUAUGUAGAGUCUACAAAGUGACAUUUCUGAGCCCAUUGAGGCCUAUAAAGAGAAAUGGAAUAACCAGGGAUAAAAACUAGAAAGAAGCUACAUACUUUGGGAUGUGCUGUUUUAUAUCAAAGAAUGGAACCUCUAUUUUAAUUCACCACGUUUUAGACCUUCUUUUUGUAGAAUCUAUGAAGUGACAUUUCUGAGUCCAUUGAGGCCUACAAGGAAAAACCAAAUAUCCAUCUCUAAAAACUGAAGAAUCUCCACAUAAAAAUACUAUGUGAUUUGCUGUUGCACAUCACAUAAGGAAAGCUGUGUUGUGAUUCACCUGUUCAAAUCCUCUUUGUGUAAAAUUUAUGAAGUGACAUUUCUCUGCCCAUAGAGGUCUAUAAGUAAAAAUUGUAUAUCCAUAUGUAAAAACUAUAAAGUAUCUAUGUUUGAAAAUGCUUUGUUAUGUGAUGUUUCAUAUCACAGAAUGGAAACCUGUGUCUUGAUUCACCAGGUUCAAAACUCUCCUUUUGUAGAAUUUAUGAAGAGACACUCUGUUGCCAUUGAGGCCUAAAAAGAAAAAUUGAAUAUCCAUUUCUAAAAAUCAUAGAAGUUAUGUGUGAAAAUGCUUUCAGAUGUGUGUUUCAUGUCAGGAAAUGCAACCAGGGUUUUCAUUCACCAGGGUCCAAACACUAUUCUGGAGAAUAUAUGAAGUGACA